UUACAUGAUCAUAAAUAAGCUACAUCUAACCCCAACAAAAAGGAAUUUAGCUAUUCAUAGCCAUGAUUAACUUACAAAGAUGAAGAAAGAAAAAGAUGAAUGAACUAGCACUUGAUUUUUCAAGUUUGGAUGAAUUCACCUUCAAAAUCUCUUUGGAACCCUAGAUCUAUGUUUUUCUCUCUGAUGUGCUAUGUAAAAAGUGGUUUUUUUUAAAUUUCUUCAGCUGAUGGCUAUUUAUAGACUUUCAGGAAAUACAUGUUCGCUGAGCGAACAGAGUGGUCGCUGAGCGACCAAGUUACUUAACAGGAAGGUUUGCUGACACGUGGCUCUUAAAGCGCCAAACUCAGCACUGAUCGCCACUGCUCGCUUAAGCUCGUUGACAGACCAAAACACACUGACUACUCUCGCCAUUGCUCGCUGAGCGACCACUGCUGGCUGUUGCUCGCUACUUCUCACCACGAAGCCUUAAUGCACUGCCUUUGCUCGCCACAGCUCGCUGAGCGAAGGCUUCAAAACUUCAAAAUUCUUUCUCUUGUUCAGCAAAACCUAUCAAAA
rnacentral:lncRNA from 1 species